GGUGUGGCCCAAUGGCAAGGCGCUUGACUACGAAUCAAGAGAUUCCAGGUUCGACCCCUGGCACGAUCA